CCUCUUCACAUCCUUGUAGAACUUCUUCUUGGCAUAGCCCACAAGAUUCAAAGGUUCUUUUCCUGUGGAUAGGUAGUUCACCAAAUCAUCAUACCAAAGUUCUUUCUCUUCUGUUGCCUUAACUUCUUCAAGCUUUCUACCAGUCUCACAAACUGCCAUCACUGCUCCAAUAGCCAUGAUAUGCUCCUCUGGAAGUCCUUCGUCAAUAGGAAUGCCACACUC
rnacentral:lncRNA from 1 species